ACAGACGCGGUGAGGGCGCCCAACGCCAGGUGCCCACCGGCGCUGUGUCCUGGAAGUGCCCAGGGAAGCCUCCGGGGGCUGUGAGGGGAACUGGGGAGCUGGCACGGACCCUCACUGCUCCCCAGAGCCUGGCAGCCUCUCCCCGGGGCUUUGCCCCGCCGUGGCUCCCGUUGCUGCAGGAAGGAAGCUCAAAGGCGGUUAGAGUGCGCUGGGAAAAGUCUGCUGAAUGCCAUAGAAAAAGUUGGAUUUGAUGAGGUUUCAGGAAAGAAAAGUUCCAGGUAGAGGAGGAGAUGGCAGGUCCAUGUCUUCAUUGGCCGUGACCGUUCGUCAGCGGAGACUCCGCCUUAGCCAGCCCUGGCCGGCCCUCCAUCCUCUUCGGAACAGACUCUUACAUGCACUGAUUUUACUGGGACAGGGUCUUGUCAUGUUGACCAGGCUGGUCUUAAACUCCUGGCCUCAAGAGGUCCUCCUGCCUUGGCUUCCCAAAGCACUGUGAUUCAGGUGUGAGCUGACACACCCAGACCACAACCGUGUUUUGUGUAUCUCACUUUGUGUAGAUAUUGCCACACUAUAGUAAGAGACUGGGUCUGUCAUGAAGCUGUGAUGGGGUGGACACUCCACACCGUCGAGUCUAUGUGACAAGGACUGAAUUGGAAGGGUGCUCAGAUAUCCCCUGGUUGGCAGAGCCCCACCUGUGCAGAUGAGGUCCCCAGGCUUGAUGCCAUCCUGAACAUCGUCACUCAGCCAUGGCGUUAGGGGAGACUGCAGCCUCUGGUUUCCUGUCCAGCCUUUCCCAGCUGCUUCCUCUGCUUGUUUCUAGUGGAGAUAAAGCCAGUGAAAAAUGAGGGCAAAGUUGACAGUCCUGCAGUCACGGCCAUAGCAGAAACAGUGAAUACACGCGUUUGCACAGGCAGAAAGUGGCAAACAGUGUUGGUGAGUGGCUGAAGUCCACAGGAUCACCCAGUCAGCGGCUGCUGAGCGCUUUCUAUGCACCACACACCAGCCACAGCAUGCCCCUACCCUCAAGGGAUGGGGCACAGAUGCAGCUAAUUACACCAGCAAUCAUUGACGGUCCUUAUAAAUGCUCUAAAGGAAGCCAAGGGGGUUAAUGAAGGAGGAGCUGGCUCAAGUCUAGUGCAAAGUGCACCAUCUAAUCACCUGGGGAGCUUCUGACAUCCCAGCUCCUAGUCAUGGAAUCUCUUGGGGUGAGCCCUGGACACCAGUGUUUUUUACUGCUGGUCCCCAGGUGGUUCCAAUGUGAGAACCACGGCUGUGGAGAAGUGUCGCUGUUUAGAACCUUUACCUGUCCAGGGGAAUGGUGUGACUCACUGCAUUUUCUCGUUUGUAAGAUACCAUCAGGUGUAAGACAGAGCCCUGACCUCAUCAUAACUUUUCAGGAAAGAAAGAAUACUCUCCAUGUUGUACGUGAGAUGCAGCCUUCUCCCCACAAACAUUAAAAUAUGAAAAAGCACAUCCAAGAAUCAAGAAAAUACAGUAUUUGAAUAAAGAUGAAUAAUACAUGCUUUUCAAAUGUAGUCUUUGAGGCAGAGUUAAUACUUGAAUAGCAAAUCGAACUUAGGCCUGAAAAGCUGAGCUGAGCCAACCCAGUGGAAUCAAAUGUUCAGGCGGUGGUGGAGGGCAAACGGCGAAGCCACAGAUCGCAGCCUGCAGGCAGCAAGGGCUGCAGUCCCGGCUGCCUGAGUGAGAAUGACUGUGUGCUAUAAUAAUGACAUUGAAUGUUUUCAGAGUACAUACUGUGAGCUAAGCACUUAAGUGCUAUAGAUGUAUGUAUGUAUGUAUUUUACACAUAUAUACUUUAUAUACUGUAUAUAUAAACACACAUGCACAUCCACAGAUAUAUGUAACUUGAUAUGAUUUGGCUGUGUCCCCACCCAAAUCUUGUCUUGAAUUGUAGCUCCCAUGAUUCCCCUGUGUUGUGGGAGGGACCCAGUGGGAGGUAAUUGAAUCAUGGGGGUGGGUCUUUCCCAUGCCAUUCUUGUGACAGCACUGACAAGAUCUGUUUGUUUUAUAAGGAGGAGUUUCCCUACACAAAAUCUCUCUUUUUGCCAGUGCCGUGUAAGAUGUGUCUUUGUUUUCCCCUUGCAUUCCACCAUGAUUGUGAGGCCUCCCCAGGCAUGUGGAGAUGUGUGUUCAUUAAACCUCCUUUUCUUUAUAAAUUACCCAGUCUCAGGUAUGUCUUUACCAGCAUUAUGAAAAUGGACUAAUAAAUAACUCCUUUAAUUUUCUCCCAACCCAAGUAUAAAGGCAUAAACUCAGCUUGAGAGUGAGCAGCUUGCUGAAGAUUUCACAGUAGGCUUUGAAUUUGGCCAUUCUGACUCCACAGCCUGCCCUGCCCUCAAUAAAAAUGCUGAUGAGUAAAAAGGCAGAGCUCAAGUUUUCUCUGUCAGUAUGCACCUCUGUAGUGAGCCGCAGCCCUGGGAAUGUCACACUGACCCAGCACGUAAAAUUCCCAGGGAAACGUCCCCAAGUGAACACGGUGCCAUGCGUGACCCACCCCCGAAGCUCAGCAUGGACGUCGCAUAGACCUCCUUUUACUCCAUUAACCUCCAGUCCACCCCCAGGGGCUGGCCAUGCUGAUAAAGAUUCUGACACCACUUCUUGGAUGACAGGG